rnacentral:rRNA from 1 species
UACAGAGGGGGCAAGCGUUGUUCGGAAUUACUGGGCGUAAAGGGCUCGUAGGCGGCCAACUAAGUCAGACGUGAAAUCCCUCGGCUUAACCGGGGAACUGCGUCUGAUACUGGAUGGCUUGAGUUCGGGAGAGGGAUGCGGAAUUCCAGGUGUAGCGGUGAAAUGCGUAGAUAUCUGGAGGAACACCCGUGGCGAAGGCGGCUCUCUGGGACGGUACUGACGCUGAGACGCGAAAGCGUGGGGAGCGAACAGG